rnacentral:rRNA from 1 species
UACAGAGGGGGCAAGCGUUAUUCGGAAUUAUUGGGCGUAAAGGGCGCGUAGGCGGCUUGGCAAGUGGAAGGUGAAAUCCCUCGGCUUAACCGAGGAACUGCCCUCCAAACUGCUUCGCUUGAGACCGGGAGAGGUGAGUGGAAUUCCCAGUGUAGCGGUGAAAUGCGUAGAUAUUGGGAGGAACACCAGUGGCGAAGGCGGCUCGCUGGACCGGUUCUGACGCUGAUGCGCGAAAGCGUGGGGAGCAAACGGG